CAGCAGCCGCGGGAAUACGAAGGGGGCUAGCGUUGUUCGGAUUUACUGGGCGUAAAGGGCGCGUAGGCGGGCGAAUCAGUCAGGGGUGAAAUCCCAAGGCUCAACCUUGGAACUGCCUUUGAUACUGUUUGUCUUGAGUUCGAGAGAGGUAAGUGGAACUGCGAGUGUAGAGGUGAAAUUCGUAGAUAUUCGCAAGAACACCAGUGGCGAAGGCGGCUUACUGGCUCGAAACUGACGCUGAGGCGCGAAAGCGUGGGGAGCAAACAGGAUUAGAUACCCCCGUAGUCCCUGUCUCUUAUAA
rnacentral:rRNA from 1 species